UGGCACUUUCAGUGUCCGAGUUGUAAUUUGAAGAAGGUAUCUUUGGGUCUGGCUCUUGUCUAUGUUUCUUGGAACAGAACGUCACAGAGGGUGAGAAUCCCGUGCGAUGAGAUGUCCCAGACCUAUGUAAAGUUCCUUCGAAGAGUCGAGUUGUUUGGGAAUGCAGCUCUAAGUGGGUGGUAAAUUCCAUCUAAAGCUAAAUAUUGGCGAGAGACCGAUAGCGAACAAGUACAGUGAUGGAAAGAUGAAAAGAACUUUGAAAAGAGAGUGAAAAAGUACGUGAAAUUGUUGAAAGGGAAGGGCUUGAGAUCAGACUUGGUAUUUUGUAUGUUACUCUCUCGGGGGUGGCCUUUACAGUUUACCGGGCCAGCAUCAGUUUGAGCGGUAGGAUAAGUGCAAAGAAAUGUGGCACUGCUUCGGUAGUGUGUUAUAGUCUUUGUCGAUACUGCCAGCUUAGACUGAGGACUGCGGCUUCGGCCUAGGAUGUUGGCAUAAUGAUCUUAAGUCGCCCGUCUUGAA
rnacentral:rRNA from 1 species